rnacentral:rRNA from 1 species
GAUGAACGCUGGCGGCGUGCUUAACACAUGCAAGUCGAACGAUGAAGCCCAGCUUGCUGGGUGGAUUAGUGGCGAACGGGUGAGUAACACGUGAGUAACCUGCCCUUGACUCUGGGAUAAGCCUGGGAAACUGGGUCUAAUACUGGAUAUGACUUCUCAUCGCAUGGUGGGGGGUGGAAAGAUUUAUUGGUCUUGGAUGGACUCGCGGCCUAUCAGCUUGUUGGUGAGGUAAUGGCUCACCAAGGCGACGACGGGUAGCCGGCCUGAGAGGGUGACCGGCCACACUGGGACUGAGACACGGCCCAGACUCCCACGGGAGGCAGCAGUGGGGAAUAUUGCACAAUGGGCGCAAGCCUGAUGCAGCGACGCCGCGUGAGGGAUGACGGCCUUCGGGUUGUAAACCUCUUUCAGUAGGGAAGAAGCGAGAGUGACGGUACCUGCAGAAGAAGCGCCGGCUAACUACGUG